CUGCCAUCAAAACUUUUCAGCUAGAGUAUGAUAGAGGAAAGCAGAAUUUCUAGUGUAGAGGUGAAAUUCGUAGAUAUUAGAAAGAAUACCAAUUGCGAAGGCAGCUUUCUGGAUCAUUACUGACACUGAGGAACGAAAGCAUGGGUAGCGAAGAGGAUUAGAUACCCUCGUAGUCCAUGCCGUAAACGAUGUGUGUUAGACGUUGGAAAUUAAUUUUCAGUGUCGCAGCGAAAGCGAUAAACACACCGCCUGGGGAGUACGACCGCAAGGUUAAAACUCAAAUGAAUUGACGGGGACCCGCACAAGUAGUGGAGCAUGUGGUUUAAUUCGAAGAUACGCGCAGAACCUUACCAACACUUGACAUGUUCGUCGCGACUCUAAGAGAUUAGAGUUUUCGGUUCGGCCGGACGAAACACAGGUGCUGCAUGGCUGUCGUCAGCUCGUGUCGUGAGAUGUUGGGUUAAGUCCCGCAACGAGCGCAACCCUCACUUUUAGUUGCCAUCAUUAAGUUGGGCACUCUGAAAGAACUGCCAGUGAUAAGCUGGAGGAAGGUGGGGAUGACGUCAAGUCCUCAUGGCCCUUACGUGUUGGGCUACACACGUGCUACAAUGGUAUCUACAACAGGAAGCAAAACUGCGAGGUUAAGCAAAUCCUUAAAAGAUACCUCAGUUCGGAUUGCACUCUGCAACUCGAGUGCAUGAAGCUGGGAUUACUAGUAAUCGUGGAUCAGCGUGCCACGGUGAAUGCGUUCCCGGGUCUUGUACACACCGCCCGUCACACCAUGGGAGUUGGUUCUACCUUAAGGCAAGGUUUCAAACCCUUGACCACGGUAUAGUCAGCGACUGGGGUGAAGUCGUAACAAGGUAAC
rnacentral:rRNA from 1 species